rnacentral:rRNA from 1 species
UACGAAGGGGGCUAGCGUUGCUCGGAAUCACUGGGCGUAAAGGGUGCGUAGGCGGGUCUUUUAAGUCAGGGGUGAAAUCCUGGAGCUCAACUCCAGAACUGCCUUUGAUACUGAAGAUCUUGAGUUCGGGAGAGGUGAGUGGAACUGCGAGUGUAGAGGUGAAAUUCGUAGAUAUUCGCAAGAACACCAGUGGCGAAGGCGGCUCACUGGCCCGGUACUGACGCUGAGGUGCGAAAGCGUGGGGAGCAACAGG